UACGAAGGUGUCGAACGUUGUCCGGAAUUACUGGGCGUAAAGGGCGCGUAGGCGGCUAGGUAAGUCAGAUGUGAAAGCUCUGGGCUCAACCCAGGAAUUGCAUUUGAAACUGCUUAGCUCGAGUUCGGUAGAGGAGGGCGGAAUUCCUGGUGUAGCGGUGAAAUGCGUAGAUAUCGAGAGGAACACCUGCGGCGAAGGCGGGUUGCUGGGC
rnacentral:rRNA from 1 species